rnacentral:misc_RNA from 1 species
ACAUAUCUAUGAUAGCAACACAAGAAUCAAAGAAGAUGGGCAGGCUAACAUUAAGGACAAGCAAAAGAAAAAUGAAGCUACUAAAUGAUUCCUAUAUCCUCAUGAAUGGGAUACCUAAACUCACCGAUGCUGUAACAACUGAAGGAAAUAAAUAGUACAAAAAGGCAAUACUGGAGAUAUAAUCAACUUUCAGAUGAAAGAAGUUCUCCCGCCCCUCCUACUAUGCCGUUCAUAUGCAGUAUUGAAUUUGUCAACCAACUCGUUCAUUGUACUAGAGCAGUUGGUGAACAUGGCCAGGUAACUAACUAACAAUGUGUCAUUAUAUUCCAUCAAGAAAUCAUCUCGAAAUUUCUCCGACUCAAUUGUUGGCAAUCUUCUUAAAAGACUGGAGACCUGCCUGAGCAAUGAAUUCUCACAGGGAAUUUCACCUUUUUGCAUAGCAAGAAGAUAAUGAUGUAGCACUCUAAUUCUGCUGUUCAGCAUCUUGAUGGCACUAUGUGUGCCUGUAAGGUGCGCAGCCAACUGAGUUGCGGCAGAGCCUCCAUCAGAUGGUUUAAGAUGUGCAACAUGAUCAACAGAUAUCCGUUCAGCUUCAACGGUCUCUAUUGUGUAGCUUGCUUGGACAAAAAUAAGCUGUGGGAUGCCAUCAAUGAUGUGCAACUCGCUUUCAUAGAUACUGAUUGGCAAGUCCUUCUGUGCAUGGUUGAUAGAAGGAUUGAGAAGAACGUACAAAGGGCUUUCAUUGAUAUCCAUCAAAGCUCUGUGAAUGUUCAUAUCUGAUUCCUGAGCAUCACUACCAGUUGAAUACCAUCCCAAUAUAUAGAAAUUAGGAAACACCUUCUUAUAGAGCUCCUGUUUCUUCUCAAGGAAGGCACGGUCAAGUGAGUGAGUAGAUGGAUCAUAAAGAAGUUCGAAGCUGUUGAAGAUCUCAACUGUUCGGCCUCUCUGUACACCGAUGACGCAACCAAAUACCCUAGGCGGUGCCGGAGGGGAAUCGGCGGUGGCGCUGGAACCGGCACCGGCAUCAGCACCGGUAGCCUGAGAUUUGACCCGAGUGUAGUGAUCGGAUAUGUUGAGUAAAACGAGCGGGUGGAGCUUGAAGGUUAAGCCGCUGCUGGAUGAAGACGCCAUUGUAGUACUACAAUUUUCUCUUCGUU